GUCCCUCAUCAAAGAGAGAAAAGCUGGAGAAGGGGCGGUGAGCCGUCAGGCAGGAGGUUCUGCAGCGGCGGUGUCUGGAGCGGGCAGUCACUUCCAGGCAGGUGGCGGGAACACACAUCAAACCCGCGUCCCGGACACCGACACCUCCAACAACACGACGUCAGCCCACAAUGCACCGCGGCCGGUGACCAGCAUUACCUCAUCCCGUCGUCCUCUGCGAGAGUUAGAAUCUUCUAGGGCGGUCACCAUAGCGACCGGGGGUUCAUUUGCACCCUUAGCCCCGCCCAGCGGGCUCCUCAACCAAUGGCAGGCCUCCGGAGUGACAUCAUGUCUAUUUUUAGUGGGUGACUGGCCGCAGAUAAG